rnacentral:rRNA from 1 species
GACGAACGCUGGCGGCAUGCCUAACACAUGCAAGUCGAACGGAGAAAAGGAAGCUUGCUUCUUUUUCUUAGUGGCGGACGGGUGAGUAACGCGUGAGUAACCUGCCUUUCAGAGGGGGAUAACGUUCUGAAAAGAACGCUAAUACCGCAUGAGACUACGGAGCAAUCCGCUGUAAGAUGGACUCGCGUCCAAUUAGAUAGUUGGUGGGGUAACGGCCCACCAAGUCGACGAUUGGUAGCCGGACUGAGAGGUUGAACGGCCACAUUGGGACUGAGACACGGCCCAGACUCCUACGGGAGGCAGCAGUGGGGGAUAUUGCACAAUGGGGGAAACCCUGAUGCAGCAACGCCGCGUGAGGGAAGAAGGGUUUUUCGGAUUGUAAACCUCUGUUUUUAGUGAAGAAACAAAUGACGGUAGCUAAAGAGAAGCCACGGCUAACUACGUG